rnacentral:lncRNA from 1 species
UCCUCUUUUAAUUUUGAAUGUUAGGAAUUGUUUGAGGGAGAAGCAAGAACUAAUAUUGAAGAGGAAAAACUCAGUAACGUAUAAAUUAAAAGCACAUUGAUUACAUAUUAUUGAAUAGAGAUGAGGGGAGGGAAAAAGCCAUGAGUAAAGAUCAAUUCAAAAAAAAGGUUAGUGAGGGUGGAGGAAAACUUGCCACGUGGCAAAAAGAACUAAUAUUGAAGAGGAAAAACUCAGUAACGUAUAAAUUAAAAGCACAUUGAUUACAUGUCAUUGAAUAGAGAUGAGGGAAGGGGAAAAGCCAUGAGUAAAGAUCAAUUCAAAAAAAAGGUUAUUGAGGGUGGAGGAAAACUUGCCACGUGGCAAAAAGAACUAAUAUUGAAGAGGAAAAACUCAGUAACGUAUAAAUUAAAAGCACAUUGAUUACAUGUCAUUGAAUAGAGAUGAGGGAAGGGGAAAAGCCAUGAGUAAAGAUCAAUUCAAAAAAAAGGUUAUUGAGGGUGGAGGAAAACUUGCCACGUGGCAAAAUCAUUGAGAAUUCAUAUAGAUAAAUAGAUGAUUACAUGACUGCAAACAGAACAAACUUCUAAUAUUAUAAGGUAAUUAUUCAAAUAUUAAAUCA